CGCCGGCACUUCCCUACGGGUCCUAGCGCCCUCCAUCCCUGCUUCCUCCCUCCCUUCCCUUCUGGGGAAAUGGAUGAUCUGAGCCGGGAAACCAGAGCAGCCGAGGUGGCCCGGACGAUGGGGAAACUGAGGCCAAGAAAGGGCAAAUGAUUUACCCCAAGUACCUUACCAAAGAAAGAGAGAAAAGUGAAGAUUCAACAUAUACGUGUAUAUUUAGCUUGGUGAUGUAAGAGGAAGGACAUCAAGAACUGCAAAGGGAAGAAUAAGAUGAGACCCAACAAGGAUAAUAUUACACAAAGAGACAAAAGGAAGUUGAUAAGACUGGGAAGUGGGAGAAAAAAAUAGACAAGUUCUGUGAGAAGUACAUCGACGUGUAAACUA